UGCGUUGCCUGGGAAAACUCACCUUUCUGGUUCAAGGUGUGGGCAUGCAUGAUGUUGUGGAACACACCUCCUUGGCUGGGUGGAGUAAUUACAUUGAGAGAGAAAAAGGGAGAGGAGAUCAGAAUAGUCCUGUUGAUCUGUCACAGCUCAUCAAAGGUGAAGAAGCAACUUGGUAUACACGAAGAAAGUCAGCAGACUUAGACUACCUGUCUACAAUGUCCUACAAAACUCCAUACUCUCCUAAAACAAGUAUGAGCUCCAAUCAGGCUAUCAAAGACCUCAAGAGAAGGAGCCUUUUAACAGACGGCAGUUGGAUUAAAAAUACUGACGAAGAUGAAUCUGUGUUCAACACAGAAGAGGAGGAUCUGAGGCCGGCAUACAAGACUGGUUCAGUCGGCAACCUCUCAAAGAGAUUUGGUGGGAGCCAAGAUUUUCUUGACAAAAGCAGCAAAGCAAAGCCGUCACAGACAAUAGCUGCAAGCACCAGGUAUUCAACAUCAAUCUAAUGUAAAACUCUGUCU
ensembl:lncRNA